ensembl:lncRNA
AUGAUCAUGGUUUCCUGUGUAGUACUUCAACUACUGAGGCAUGGUGCCAGAAUCCCAGGAAACGCGCACCCACGACUGGGACCUCACAGCCUGUCCUGGGCAAACACUCGGAGGGAUUCCAGAUUCCAAGUCAAGGUGUGGAAGACGCUUGACACAAAUUCAAAAAACCAACCUCACACAUGCCUCUUGGAAAACGAUGUUCUGCUGGGGCUUGCUGUAAAAAUUUCUUGGGUCAAUGUAGCUCUUAGCAAAACGCUUAUAUAACUGAUAUCUUGAGAUGGUUUCUCUCCUUCGUGUGUACUCUCUGGUGGAUGCAGAGGCUGGUGCUCUGGCUGAAGGCCUUCCCACACUCAUCGCAUUUAAAAGGCUUCUCCCCGGUGUGCACUCUCUGAUGGAUGCAGAGGCUGGAGCUCUGACUGAAGGCCUUCCCACACCCACAGCAUCUAUAGGGUUUCUCCCCGUGUGCACUCUCUGAUGGAUGCAGAGGCUGGAGCUCUGGCUGAAGGCCUUCCCACACUCAUAGCAUUUAUAGGGUUUCUCUCCUGUGUGGACUCUUUGAUGCAUGCAGAGGCUGGAAGUGUGCCUGAAGGCCUUCCCACACUCUUCACAUUUAAAGGGUUUCUCUCCGGUGUGGACUCUCUGAUGCAUGCAAAGGUUUGAACUAUUGCUAAAGCCCCUUCCACACUCACUACAGACAUAGGGUUUCUCACCCGUAUGAACUCUCAUGUGAAUUUGAAGAUGUGAGCUCCAAUUGAAGGCUUUGCCACACUCAUAACAUUUAUAGGGCUUCUCCACUGUGUGGAUUUUCUUAUGCCUAUUAAGUUUCGUUGUGGUACUAAAAUCCUUACCGCAAUCAUCACAUUUAUAGACCUUCUCUCCAGUGUGGUCUCUCCAAUGAAUAUGAAGUUCUGAUAUAUGAAAGAAGCCCUUAUCACACUUGUCACAUUUAUGGGGCUUCUCAGCAGUGUGAAUUUUCUGAUGCAUAAAAAGAUCUGCUCUCUCAGAGAAAAAUUCCCUACACAUGGGGCACUUGUAGAUCAUGUUUCCUAUUUGGUAUCGUGAUUCAAAGGAGAAGAUUUCCUUAUAACUACUACAGUUACAGGGCUGCUACUUCACAGAGUCUCUCAUUUGGCCAUUUUGCCGUUUAUCUCAGGCUUGCUCUAUUUGGGAGGUUUAAGGGCAGCCUGAGCUUUUCCCUGCCUGUCUUUCUAUGGAAGGUUUCUUCCUGCAUAGUGUUCCUCACUCAGUAUUAUUACGAAUUAUAAAGUGACAUUUACUUCCACAUGAACUCUAUGACUCACUAACACAGAACUUUCUUUUAGAUCCUGAGCUGUCAACAUUCCACAGCGCUCCCAAGUUGCAAAUCUUGGCGUUUUUUUAAGCCCUUGGAAUCUUCCUCUUGCAGAAUAAUCUCAUACUUCUCACUUGCAGAAAAAGGCCUGCACAGCGUCCCCUGGAGCAGAGGGAAAGAUACUGUGUGCUGGUCUUGGUCCCUUGGAGCCCGCCCUUGCAGAGUCACAAUGACAUGCUGCCUCCUGCACAUCAGACAGGAGCCCUCCCAGGAAGCAAGUUCCUCAGGUCCAGGUGUGUCAAUCUUUCCCUGUGAGGAUUCCCUCCACAGGUAUCACUCCAGUCUCCUGAAACAGAAACGUAAAUACAUACAUUGAAAAUGCUUUUUUGUCCAGAAAAUUGUUGGUUCUGUAAUUAAUUUCAUCUAAAUGUGACAACAGUAGCACAGACCUUUCUUGAUAUUGAGGAUGGAGCUCUUAUCUUCCAGAGAGAUGUGUCUCUUGGAUUUGCAGGUCUGAAGAAGAGAAUUUGUAGAUAUCAUGCUCCUGUUCAUAGCCCAAGUACAUCAUCCAACAACAACCACUUACUGUAACCAUCUGAGCCACAUCAUGGAUAUACUACUGAAAAAGAAAAGAAAUCCUCAGACGACCUAUAUGCAAGUAUGAGAAGCAGCUGUCCUGCAUAAAGGAGCAAGAAGGAAAACUUCAACUCACUCCACUUUGAACUUCAGAAGGAACAAUGUUGCUGCUACUGGAGCUAAAACACAAUAUUGAGCAGCCUUUCAAUCCAAAGAAAGAAUAAAUAUACGACACAUGAGUAUCA